CUCAUGUCAGAUUGGAGCUAUAUCCUCAGAGAUUGUGCAGCUGCAGCUCGACUUCCCCAAAGCCACACGGGAUGCUGUUCAUGAAAUGACAGAAAUUUCGUGGACAAAAGUUGCCUGGUGUCAGGUGAGAGAGACCAGUUAAACCAGAGAAAGCUGCCUGAGGCCCCUGAGUUCAUUGUGAUUUCAAUCUGAAAACUGGAAUCCACAAACCUGAGCUCCAAUGGGAAGCAAAACAGCGGCUCCUGUGCUUAAGGACUGACUAGCCCAUGGGCUGAGAACCAGGUGAUCCCAGGGACACAGCCCAGCAGACCAUCUGAUGCAUAUUUCCUGGAUUUCUACUCCUGUGUUCCAGAAAGCAGCCAUUUGUUCCAGGACCACGACUAGGGUCUAUACAAGCUACCAUAACCUCAAGUAACCCUGGACCAACACCAAAUGCUUCUUUCCAACUCAGGUUUGGGACACACUACCAGAUGGUCCCAGAGGAAAUUUAGUUCUCUGUGUGUUUUUAUUUCAAAAUGAAGCCUAUCUUCAGACAACAGAACAAAUGUGCCAACAUCCUGUUCCAAAAACCAGAAUACACAGACUCCCAAGAACUACCAGCCCUUUAGUCAAUCUGGCUCCUAGAGAAUGCUAUUACUGUUCAAGAUCCUGUGGCCUUACCGCC